UACGGGAGGGUGCGAGCGUUGUCCGGAAUCAUUGGGCGUAAAGGGCGCGUAGGUGGCCCGGUAAGCGUGCGGUGAAAGCUCGGGGCUCAACCCCGAGUCGGCCGUGCGAACUGCUGGGCUUGAGCACUGUAGAGGCAGGCGGAAUUCCGGGUGUAGCGGUGGAAUGCGUAGAGAUCCGGAAGAACACCGGUGGCGAAGGCGGCCUGCUGGGCAGUAGCUGACACUGAGGCGCGACAGCGUGGGGAGCAAACAGG
rnacentral:rRNA from 1 species